rnacentral:rRNA from 1 species
AACGAACGCUGGCGGCAUGCCUAACACAUGCAAGUCGAACGAACCCUUCGGGGUUAGUGGCGCACGGGUGCGUAACGCGUGGGAACCUGCCUUUAGGUUCGGAAUAACUCAGAGAAAUUUGAGCUAAUACCGGAUAAUGUCUUCGGACCAAAGAUUUAUCGCCUUUAGAUGGGCCCGCGUUGGAUUAGCUAGUUGGUAAGGUAAAAGCUUACCAAGGCGACGAUCCAUAGCUGGUCUGAGAGGAUGAUCAGCCACACUGGGACUGAGACACGGCCCAGACUCCUACGGGAGGCAGCAGUGGGGAAUAUUGGACAAUGGGCGAAAGCCUGAUCCAGCAAUGCCGCGUGAGUGAUGAAGGCCUUAGGGUUGUAAAGCUCUUUUACCAGGGAUGAUAAUGACAGUACCUGGAGAAUAAGCCCCGGCUAACUUCGUG